AUGCCCAGUGAUUAUAAAAAGACGCGUUAUUCUGAGGAACACAACCAGCUGCCAGUCUUCCUCCUUCUCUGAACUCUCCAUCUCCAUCUCUCCUCUAAACCUUCUCUUCUUCUUUUCUUUUUUCAAACUGGCAGCUGGUCCGCUGACUGCGAUUAUGAGAUAUGAGGGCAU